rnacentral:tRNA from 1 species
GCGAAUGUAGCUCAGUUGGUAGAGCGCAACCUUGCCAAGGUUGAGGUCGCGGGUUCGAACCCCGUCAUUCGCU